GGUCUUUCUUACUAUUGAUGACCUUCUCAUCCCAUAUACAAAGAAUUGCCAUAAAGCAAUAACAAAAACAAAUCUAUAAUCCUCUUUCGCAACCCAGAACUCAUUGUUCAGCAUGAGUUUUUUUUUUUUUUUUUUUGCGGUAUGCGGGCCUCAGUAUGAGUUUUGAUACAGAUAAGAAGGAACAUG